rnacentral:rRNA from 1 species
GAAGAACCGUACAAACGUUAUUCGGAAUUACUGGGCUUAAAGGGUGCGUAGGCGGUCCGGCAAGUUGGGUGUGAAAUCCCUCGGCUCAACCGAGGAACUGCGCUCAAAACUGCCGGACUCGAGGGAGACAGAGGUGAGCGGAACUCAGGGUGGAGCGGUGAAAUGCGUUGAUAUCCUGAGGAACACCAGUAGCGAAAGCGGCUCACUGGGUCUCUUCUGACGCUGAGGCACGAAAGCUAGGGGAGCGAACGGG